AGGGAAAUUUUGGAAAUACAAUUUGGGACAUUUGGAGUGCUAUCAAAUAAGUCAAGACUCUUCACAUUGACAUUUCAAAUUUAAUUAUUUUGAAACUUAGUAGUCUAGAUAGUUUUUAAUUAAAUUUGUAAACAUUGGGCCAAUUUUUGGCAAAAUAGUUUGAGCCCAUUUAGGAAACAUGACAUGGCACCUAGAGUUUUGCAAAGGGGUGGACCCCACCCUAAAUUUUGAGGACAACUCACGGCAUUUAGGAGAGCCCGCCGUCACUUAAUUGGCAUUCUACUGGGAGACUUUGCUGAAACGUCUUUUUCUUGGGUUAUGAAUAUUUUCUCUUGGAACCAUGUUUGUUCUGUUGGACUUUGGAUGAAUGGUCUUUUUAUUUAGUUUGAUGCAUUUUUCUAUUGCAACUUCAUUCAAGGAAGCACCAGCCGUUACACUUAUUUUUAUUUAUUUAUUUUUUUUGCUUUUAACGUUUAUUAGAGGACUUGCAGGGGUGGUUAACGUUUCUUUUAUCUUGGGUUGAUUAAAAACUGCUACCAGCCGCCACUUAUUCUAGGAAUUUAUUUUUCAUUUGGCACCUUGAAUGUUCCCGAGAGGAGGAAGCCGCAAUUUUCAUUCUUUUUGCCUUUACAUAACAUGCGCUGAUUUCAUAUGCUAUUAGCUGGCAGCGAUGCAAUUUUUUUUUGCAAGNAUGUCUUUUAUUUUAGUUUCAAUUGGUAGAAAUGGUGCAGGCGUCACACACAAUUGAAUUGGUGCUGCUACGUUUUUUUUUUGGAGAAUAUACACUUUCUCGGC
rnacentral:lncRNA from 1 species